rnacentral:rRNA from 1 species
UGAUGUGGCUAAACCCUGUUAAUGUCUGAUCUCGUCUCAUCUCACACACUAAACACAGCCAGGCCUGGUUAGUACUUGGAUGGGAGACCGUUGUAUACCAGGUGCCACAGUGG